AUGCUCCGGCCAUCGCCGUAUCCGUCGAGGCGUCUCCUCCAGAGCGGCGACCCCAGCCGCAUCCCCGGCAUCCCCCCGGCCGAUCCGCCCGCCGGCGUCAGCUCGGAUGUCGUCGUCAUCCUCGCCGCCCUGCUCUGCGCGCUCAUCUGCGUAGUCGGCCUCGCCGCGGUCGCGCGGUGCGCGCGCUCCCGCCGCAACGCCAACGCCCACGCCAACCAAUCCUCGCCGUCCGGCAGCCCGGCCCACGCCCUGGCGGCCUUCGGCGGGGGCGGCGGCGGGCAUAACCAUGGUACUACAACUACUACGACGACAGGCGCGUCGGGGGGCAGCGUGACGACCACCAGCAAGGGGCUCAAGAAGAAGGCGCUCAAGGCGCUGCCGAAGCUGGCGUACGCGGACGCGGUGGCCGCGGCGGCGGCGGCGAGGGGCGCCGUGGCGGGGGGCGAGGAGGAGGAGGGGCAGGACGGGAUCCUGGCGGAGUGCGCCAUCUGCCUGACGGAGUUCGGCGAGCGGGAGGAGGUGCGCGUGAUGCCGCAGUGCGGCCACGGGUUCCACGUCGAGUGCGUCGACACCUGGCUGCGCUCCAACUCCUCCUGCCCGUCCUGCCGCCGCCCCAUCGUCCUCGACGACCCCGCGCCGCCCAAGCGGUGCCGCAAGUGCGAGGAGACCAUCCUGGAGGCGGUCAUCGCCUCGUCGUCGUCGGCCGGCGGCAGCCGCGGCGGCGGCCGUGGGGGAUUCUUGCCGUAG
rnacentral:rRNA from 1 species